rnacentral:rRNA from 1 species
UACGUAGGCAGCGAGCGUUGUUCGGAGUUACUGGGCGUAAAGAGUGCGUAGGCGGUUUUCUAAGUUUGGUGUGAAAUCUCCCGGCUCAACUGGGAGGGUGCGCCGAAGACUGGAAGGCUAGAGUGUGGGAGAGGUAUGCGGAAUUCCUGGUGUAGCGGUGAAAUGCGUAGAUAUCAGGAGGAACACCUGCGGUGUAGACGGCUUACUGGACCAUAACUGACGCUGAGGCACGAAAGCGUGGGUAGCAAACAGG